AUUUUUUUGCAUUUUAAGUCUUGUCUUCCCUGCAUGGCAUCCAGAACUCUCAGGCAGGUGAACUUGGCUCUGCCAAUCAGCUGCGCGCAGACCAGGCUGACUGGGAAGGGGGUGUUACCCGGAAGUGCGGGAAUUCUCGGUUCUGGUCUAACAUAAGAGAAAGAAUUGGGCCAAGAGGCAAUUCGUAAUGUAAGCCAAAGGUUUGUUAAGGAAACAAGAGUAUACUCCGACAGAGGAGUGGGAAACCACUUGGGCUGGUCCAGCUGGGAAAAUAACCGUAGCAGUGUUUAUUUAAAGAGACAGGGUGUUCUGGAAGACGAGGCGGUGUGGCUGCUGGGGAGUGAGCCAGCAGCAGCCAGUGCCGGGAUCUCUCUUUAGGAGAAUCUUACAUGAUUACUCACAAAGGGGCAUGAGGGGAUGUCACGUGCAAUCAUGUUUUAGGCAGUCCCCUUAGGCACGCUUGCUCUGUUGGUUGUACAUGCUAGUACACGUGCCUUAUGUCACAUUAGUAUCUAAAAUCUCCACUUAGAGGUGUGUUUUUUACUGUUACACUGAGCAAAAGCCUACCCCACAGUGAGUUACUGGAGGACUGGCAUGCUUCUCAGCGGGGAAAGUUCUUAGCAUGGCUAUCUGUGGCUAAGACACGAUGAGCCCCCUUCCGGGCUGGAGGAGCCCAAUCACAGGGCCGAAGUAGCCAGCAUAGCCACUGUCUUUUUGCUGACUGUCAGUGGGCAGUGCCUUCAAGACUUAUUUUCCCAGGGGCUCCCUUGCCUGUUCAUCUCUGGCUAUCUGCCUAUUCUAACCGAGGCACGUCAGGAAUUGGGCUUGAUGCAGGACAUCCAUCUGGCUGGCUCCCUUACAGUGGCGGUUUCUGUCUUGGGGUAUCUGCCAGAAGUUGCCAGAAAGCGGAGUCCCGGGAGCAGUGCAAACCACAGUCUCUUGUCCCAGGCAGAGGCACUGCUACAAGUUCAUUGACGAGACAGAUUUGAAACAAUCUCCACUUCUUUUCGG
rnacentral:lncRNA from 1 species